rnacentral:rRNA from 1 species
GACGAACGCUGGCGGCGUGCCUAAUACAUGCAAGUCGAGCGAAGUUUUUCUGGUGCUUGCACUAGAAAAACUUAGCGGCGAACGGGUGAGUAACACGUAAAGAACCUGCCUUAUAGACUGGGACAACUAUUGGAAACGAUAGCUAAUACCGGAUAACAGCAUUAACUGCAUGGCUGAUGUUUGAAAGUUGGUUUUGCUAACACUAUGAGAUGGCUUUGCGGUGCAUUAGCUAGUUGGUGGGGUAAAGGCCUACCAAGGCGGCGAUGCAUAGCCGACCUGAGAGGGUGAUCGGCCACACUGGGACUGAGACACGGCCCAGACUCCUACGGGAGGCAGCAGUAGGGAAUCUUCCGCAAUGGGCGAAAGCCUGACGGAGCAACGCCGCGUGAGUGAAGAAGGAUUUCGGUUCGUAAAGCUCUGUUGUUAGGGAAGAAUGAUUGUGUAGUAACUA